rnacentral:rRNA from 1 species
AGAGUUUGAUCCUGGCUCAGAACGAACGCUGGCGGCAGGCCUAACACAUGCAAGUCGAGCGCCCGCAAGGGAGCGGCAGACGGGUGAGUAACGCGUGGGAACGUGCCCUUUGGUUCGGAAUAUUCCCGGGAAACUGGGAGCAUAACCGGAUAAGCCCUUCGGGGGAAAGUUUACGCCAAAGGAUCGGCCCGCGUUAGAUUAGGUAGUUGGUGGGGUAACGGCCUACCAAGCCUACGAUCUAUAGCUGAUCUGAGAGGAUGAUCAGCCACACUGGGACUGAGACACGGCCCAGACUCCUACGGGAGGCAGCAGUGGGGAAUCUUGGACAAUGGGCGCAAGCCUGAUCCAGCCAUGCCGCGUGGAUGACUGAAGGCCCUAGGGUUGUAAAGUCCUUUCGACGGGGACGAUAAUGACGGUACCCGUAGAAGAAGCCCCGGCUAACUUCGUGCCAGCAGCCGCGGUAAUACGAAGGGGGCUAGCGUUGUUCGGAUUUACUGGGCGUAAAGGGCGCGUAGGCGGAUUUUUAAGUCGGGGGUGAAAUCCCGGAGCUCAACUCCGGAACUGCCUUCGAUACUGAAAGUCUGGAGCACGGUAGAGGUGAGUGGAAUUCCGAGUGUAGCGGUGAAAUGCGUAGA